UACAGAGGGUGCAAGCGUUAAUCGGAAUUACUGGGCGUAAAGCGUGCGUAGACGGUUAUGUAAGUUAGGUGUGAAAGCCCCGGGCUCAACCUGGGAAUUGCAUUUAAGACUGCAUAGCUAGGGUGCGGAAGAGGGAAGCGGAAUUUCCGGUGUAGCGGUGAAAUGCGUAGAUAUCGGGAGGAAUACCGAUGGCGAAGGCAGGUCUCUGGGCAUUAACUGACGCUGAGGAGCGAAAGCAUGGGGAGCGAACAGG
rnacentral:rRNA from 1 species